rnacentral:rRNA from 1 species
UACGGAGGGUGCAAGCGUUAUCCGGAUUUACUGGGUUUAAAGUGUGUGUAGGCGGGCUUUUAAGUCAGUGGUGAAAUCUCCGGGCUCAACCUGGAAACUGCCAUUGAUACUAUUAGUCUUGAAUUUUGUUGAGGUAGGCGGAAUAAGUCAUGUAGCGGUGAAAUGCAUAGAUAUGACUUAGAACACCAAUUGCGAAGGCAGCUUGCUAAACAAAUAUUGACGCUGAGGCACGAAAGCGUGGGGAUCAAACAGG